GACAGGACGAAAUUGAAAUCAUUAUUUGUUUUGAGAAUUUGUGAUUGAGAGCGAGACAGAUUGAAGUUUUGGGAUGAACAUGAAAUAGGAAUCGGUGAUCAUCGCUGCAUUUCUCUUUAAGGUAAAACCCUACGCGUAACUGCUCAAAGCGUGUCACAUGCGAACCUCUCCUGCACAGCGUCGCAUCAGAUAAUUCCUCCUAGGGCCGAAGCCGACCGUUGGGGGUCACAGCGUCACCGGUAACGGCUACUUCCGUUUAGAAAAAAAUCCAGACCAUUAGAAUUGAAAGACCUAUCCGGAAAUUCUCUAUUUCGUUUUCUUCUCAGAAAAGAUCAAACUUUCUUCACUCCGUCGAUCUCUCUCUGCAUCAAACACUUACGAUUUGACGUCUUAAAUACUCGGCAAAUCUGCCAGGGAACUUUUUAGCCAUGGAUCUUGGGUGCUUUGACUUGGGUUGCGUAUCUGUGUCAGAGAAGCAAAGCAAUGAAGCCUAUGUCGAUUCAGAGAGCAAGGAAACGGAAGCCAGUGAGUCUGUUGCAACGGCUUCGGAGGUUGGGAAGAAUAAGGCAUUGAAAGAGACUGGCCAACCAACAGCGAAUGCUCUUAACAAAUUUACAUUACAAAUUAAGAAGCCUUUUCACCGUAAAAAUUCUCCCAUCAAUUGGUUCCCACGCAAAAAGGCGGACUCCUACUUAAAGAGGAAAAUAAAGAUGCUGCAGGAGUUAGGUGGCAUGAAUUCAACUCUAGAUGAGACUCUAGGCGAUUCAAAUCCACAUUACACCAGAGUUGAGAAAGAAAAAAUUGCAGCCAGAGAGGCAGCACGCAAGGCAAUGGAGGCACGAAAAGCUGCAAUGAUUGAAGCAUCUUGGUGUCGAAUUCUUCAAGCUGCCAGGAUUCAGAGUAAAGAAGCAGAAACCCUGCUACUGAACGCUGAAAAAAGCGUAUCUGAAGCUUUUGAGGCAGCAAUGGCCAUGGGAGUGAUAAUGUAUGAUAUACUGAACUUUUCUAUGAAGCCGUGUGAAAUUGAAACAUCAUCCAUUCAUGGAGGAGGAUCUACAACUACUCACACUGUUGCAGCAACUUUUGAGACUGCAUUUGAGGUAGAUAAGGACGUAGCUGCAGCAGUCAAGACUGCAUUCAUUAGGCUGGCAAAUUGCCCUUCAAUUAAUAAAGAUGAAUUUAGAGAUCUUCUACGAAAAAUCAGUCAGAAUCCUGAUACAGGCGAAGACAAUCAGGAAUUAUCAUAUUUUUCUUCAGAAUGUGAAUUGGAUACUGGGCCCAAGCUUGAACUGGGAUUUCAAAAAGAUGACUUUUGUGACUUGGACUGCAAGAUGUCAGUUGCAGAAACAGAACAGAGGAAAUGCAAGAAGAGGAAACUUUCUGACAAUUUUAGUAAGGAAAAGCUUAUUGACAUGAUGCUUGAAAGGCUUAAAUGUUUACAAGAAGAGGAGCUGGCUUCUCUAGCUACCAUAGUUGCAACUUGUGGAUUAAGUGCUGCCCUGGCUGAAGCAGAAAAUGGUAAGCAGCAACUGGGCUCUGCUGCUGAUUUUAGUUCAGAUCUAACUCCCAAUUUCAUCCGUAGAAUGUCUUCCCUUGGACCAAGAACAUUAAAAAUGUCUAACUUAGAAUUGAAUGGGCAGAUGACAAGAAAGCAAGCUGAGUUUGCACUCCCAAGUCUAGAUAAGAUUUUGGUCAGGCGCAUGUCAAAACUUGAAAGAGAGGUGCUGGAAGCAAAGAACACCAGAAUGAAUGAGCCUAAAAAGGCCAGUGGAGAGAAACUAGACAAAUCUGAUGUUGAAACUGUUGAAUUAGAUAAUAAUAUAACUUCUUCGGAGACUAUGCCAGACUUGGGAAGUAUUCUUGUCAAGCAUACCUCUAAGCUUGAGAAGGACAUCGAAGAGGCAAAAAGGAAUUCAGGAAAGAAAUCUCAAAUUGACCACAAGGAUUCAGUCUGCGUUAGAACUUCAUCUGAGAAUGUUCCUGACUUGGAAAGUAUAUUAAUCAAGCAUUCUUCAAAGCUUGAGAAGGAGAUUGAAGAUACCAGAAGUAAAUAUGGAGAAACAUUAGAAUUGAAUGACAGAAAAUCAGAAAGAUUGCGAAAUGGGGUGGUCAGCUGCAGAAAGAAUAAUGUUGUUGAUGUCCCCAGCCUGGAUAAGUUUCUGGUGAAACAUGUAUCAAGGUUGGAAAGAGAAGUCCAAGAAGCAAAAAACAGAAGGAGAAAUGACUCAGUUGAAGGAACAAAAGUGGGGAAAGAAAAUGUCAACUUGAUUCAGAUCAAUCAAGUGAACAAUGAGGUAGGAGAAACAUUCUCUCAGGAAGAUGAAAAAGAUGGAAUUGAUGAAAAAGAAAAUAUCAUGGAUAAGAUAUUGGUCAAACCAAUGCACAGGUUGGAGAGGGAGAAAAUGCAAGCAUUGUCACCCAUGAGGGACAACGGAAUUCAAAGAAACAAAAAGAAGCUUGGAGGAAAUAGUAUUACAGAUUGUGAGAGCUUGGACAAAGUUUUAGUGAGGCAUGUUUCUAGGCUAGAGAGGGAAAAAAUGACUUGUAAAGAAGUGGAGAUUCUGAAGAAAAGCAAUGCUAAAAUACAGUCAGAGAAAAAUGAACGUGGUUUGGACCAAAUUUUGGUUAAACAUAAAUCUAGGCUUGAGCAAGAAAAGAUUGCUGCUGCUCAGCAAUCAGGCGAGCAGAUUAAUUCCCUGGCUGGCCAAGAGGCAAGAAAGAGAGAGCUGCAAGAAGCCUGGGGAGGCUUGAGCUUGGAAAAUUCCGCACAGUCGGAGAAGAAUGAAGGAGGUCUGGACCGAAUUUUUGUUAAACAUAAAUUAAGACUCGAGCAGGAAAAGAUUGCUGCUACCCUGCAAUCAGGUGAGCGGAUUAAAUCAGGCAAGCAGAUUAAAUAUUCCCUAGCUCGCAAAGAAGCAAGAGAGAGAGAACUGCAAGAAGCUUGGGGAGGCUUGAGCUUGGGAAAUUCCAUACGUCCACAUCUUUCAAAACUUGAACGAGACAAGGCAACUUGGAUCAAAGCUGAAGAGGAACAGAAGAGGGUAGCUAAAGGGGCUAGCUUUGAUCCUUAUGGUUGAUAGAUAUGCUCUAAUGCUUUGCGACCCCAGGGAAAGAGAUGAUAUUUAAAACUCUAGGUUUGCAUAUUUGGGAUAAGGGGCUAGACAAUAGACAAGCUUGUGCAGGCCUGACAUUGCAUGCUCCAUAGACCGGCAGCUGCUUAAUGAACUUGUGGUGCAUUUUUGGUAAUAAGGCCUUACGCUUUGUUGGCGUGGCACAAAGAAGCAAAGAGUGGUGCUGCAAUUACUUGCCUUUGAAACAUGAGUGCUCCACGAAGGGAGGGAAUGAAUGAGACCAAGGCAGAGAAGCGUGGGGGUGAUUUCCUUCAAUAAUUAACAUGUCUCAUUAGACUCUGAUGGAAAAAAAAAAAAAGGAAAUUCUUUAAUUUGCUCUUUCGUUCCCUCCCAAAUUCCCUGAUUUUUAGGGGUUUUGUUUUAGGAGUUUUGGAGGGUAAUAGAAUUCCCAUAUGAGGGAACUGCCUCCUCUCCCCCAAGCAUAGUAAAUAAAUAAAUAAAUAAAUAUGAAAGGCCACAUGUCCUGCUCAUCAAGUUGAUGGACGUGUCCCCUCCUGCCUACAUGGGCUUGUCAAUUCUGAAA